rnacentral:rRNA from 1 species
CAGGCCUAACACAUGCAAGUCGAGCGGCAGCGCGAGUAGUUUACUACUUGGCGGCGAGCGGCGGACGGCUGAGUAACGCGUGGGAACGUGCCCCAAAGUGAGGGAUAAGCACCGGAAACGGUGUCUAAUACCGCAUAUGAUCUUCGGAUUAAAGCUUUAUGCGCUUUGGGAGCGGCCCGCGUCUGAUUAGAUUGUUGGUGAGGUAAUGGCUCACCAAGUCGACGAUCAGUAGCUGGUCUGAGAGGAUGAUCAGCCAGACUGGAACUGAGAUACGGUCCAGACUCCUACGGGAGGCAGCAGUAAGGAAUCUUCCACAAUGGGGGAAACCCUGAUGGAGCAACGCCGCGUGCAGGAUGAAGGCCUUCGGGUCGUAAACUGCUUCUAUAAGUGAAGAAUAUGACUGUAACUUAUGAAUAAGGAU